rnacentral:rRNA from 1 species
UGGGGAAUAUUGGACAAUGGGCGAAAGCCUGAUCCAGCCAUGCCGCGUGUGUGAAGAAGGUCUUCGGAUUGUAAAGCACUUUAAGUUGGGAGGAAGGGCAUUAACCUAAUACGUUAGUGUUUUGACGUUACCGACAGAAUAAGCACCGGCUAACUCUGUGCCAGCAGCCGCGGUAAUACAGAGGGUGCAAGCGUUAAUCGGAAUUACUGGGCGUAAAGCGCGCGUAGGUGGUUUGUUAAGUUGGAUGUGAAAUCCCCGGGCUCAACCUGGGAACUGCAUUCAAAACUGACUGACUAGAGUAUGGUAGAGGGUGGUGGAAUUUCCUGUGUAGCGGUGAAAUGCGUAGAUAUAGGAAGGAACACCAGUGGCGAAGGCGACCACCUGGACUAAUACUGACACUGAGGUGCGAAAGCGUGGGGAGCAAAUA